rnacentral:lncRNA from 10 species
GGGACUGCAGGCAUGAGCCAUCGUGCCUGAACAAUUUUCAUUUUUCUUUUAUAUGUUACUAGCUUUGGAAGAGCAGGCUUUCCCCUUAUUCAAAUCUCUGGGAUGGACUUUCUCUAAGGCAUGAUGUUCUUUUUCCUAAGGGCACUAAACCUCACAGCUCAGUCUAAAUGGUAAGAGUCAUCCUCACUAUGCUCUAGAAGAAACUCCACGAUCUGGGAGUCUAGGCCUGCUUUUUAAUAUUAAGGGUCACUAAGAGAGUUUAGAAGUAAGUUCGUUGCUCAUUGCAAAGUCCUGCUUUCAAAACUUCUGUCUUGCUGAGGAAUCUAAAAUACCCUACUCUAAAUCUUAGAGACAAUAUUUAUUCCAACUUCCUCUUAGUAUUCCUGCUGAAAUGGUUCUAAUCUUCCCCAGAGCAAAAGGAUGCCCAUUUCAGAAUAAGAAGGAAGGUUUCAUGUUACAUAAUGCAAAUGAAAAAUGCACUUCAAUUCUGCUUUUCCUAAAAUAAAAUCAUCUUUAU